CUGGUUAAAACUGGAUACGUUUGUCAGUGGUCAUUUUGUGUUCUGUCCUAACUCCUAAGAGAAACUUGACUGACGGGAAACUUCCUGAAUGGAAUUAAGCUAACAUCUCCUUGGAACUCUAGCCUUCUACAAACACAGCAUUCACUGGAUCUACACUCAAAGUGAACGUCGCCACCACGGAAGUUUCACCUACAGUCAAAAUAAUGCUCGACCAGGGCUGAAACACGACGCUACUUCACUGUUAUAUGUAACAAAGUUUCUGUGUACUCCACUGACUACAACAGGAGUGCUAUUGAUCUAGUGCGCCAUUGUUGCAGCUGUGGUCGCGCUAUGUGUUUGACGGGUUGAAACUUAAAUGUCGGACAGACAAGAUGGCACGAGAUUCCCAUUGGCUGCUCCUGUCACGUCCUAAUACCUUUACUGAAUGUUUUUGAAGAUUUCAUGAUUGUAAAAGACUGACUUGACAUUGAACAAAAAAUAUUCUAUAUGAACUGUUCUUGUCCUAUAUAAAACAGAUUUUAAUUACAUUUUUCUUAUUUAAAAUGAAAAACCUUCAAUAGGUUGACUGACC